UUUUACUCUUUUUUAUUGUAUUGUUAUAUUAUGGAUCACAACUAAUAAAUUUUGUGCUUUUGAAUCCCCAGGCGUUUUAUUUCUUUACAGUAGGAAUUCAAAAUUCGUUUUUAUCUUCGAUAUUUUCAGAAACAAAAACAAUAAAAAAACACCCAUUCAUCAACUUAUCUUUUUUAUUUUACGGUUUUCUGUAGGAUUUUGGAGUUUCCUCAAUACUUUUUUUUCCUUCUUUUUCAUUCUUUUGAUUUUCUUGUGUGAUUGUACUCAGGUUGUGCCCCCUCUCUACUUUAUCUAUUACAAUCUUCUUUGUUGCUUAUCAGAAAAAAUAAUAAAGUGUUUCCAAUAGAAGUGUUUCAGCAAAUCAAUUUGUCAAACAAAAUUUUCAUUUUCCCAAUUUUUGAGAAUAGAAUAUGAAAACAAAAAUGAUACCAAACACACCUUGAAUUUUACCAGUACUAUAGAAAUUCACACCUAUAAAUAUCUAUCACCUAUUUCCAAGAAGUCGAGAAACUUUAAUGUCUCAAAUCAUAAAUAAAUUGUUUUAACAAAAAAGCCACUCAAGUAGAUGAAGUUUUAGAAUUGAUAAGAUGAGAUUUUUUUAUUGUAGCCUUGGACUCAAUCUACUCCUCCUUUUAAACCCUUAUUCAGUGAGGACUAAACUAGGCAUGCUUUCCUUGGAUCUCAUAGAAGAUUGUUCAUGUCAACACAACUUAGCUGAAAAUAAUUUUCUAUGCGACUAUCACCCCACAUUUCUUGGGUAGAAGAUGAAUCUUGCACUACAAUUGAUGUUCUUUUAGAAAUUUUGAUCAUAUAAAAGAUUUAAAAUAAACAACACUGUCAAUUUGAUGCAUCAAUUUGCACGUAGUAAAAAACAAAAAAUUGACUUCAAAUUACAAUUCCAUCUAGUUUAGGUCCUAAUUUGAAUAAAUUACAUCAAUUUUCAAAAUGAUUUGUACUAAAUACAUACACAAACAAAUGAUUUUCUUGCAUGGACUUUGUAGAGUAGAGUAGAGUAGAGUAGACCCAAUGGAGGAUUGGGAUGUUUUGGGAUGUUUAGAAUUGGACUAAAUGGGCAGUGUGUUCAAACUCCUUUUCCAGUGGUGACAACUAUUUUAAGGUUUUCAUCAAACGAACAAUUAUAUGUAGUAAAUAAAAAUUUAAUUCCACUCAUACCUGUGUGGAGUUGCCCCUGCUUCUAUAGGAAUCAAAUUUGCUCCACAGAAGUGCAGUUGAAGAUAAGUUGAGAGAGAAGAUGCUAAGAUGAUUUAGUCAUGUAUAACAAAGACCUAUGGAUUCAAUUGUAAGGAAGAGUGAUGUAAUCACUAUAAAUGUAAAUGUUAUGAGGAGGGGAAGACCUAAAUAGACAUGGGACGUCUUAGUAAAAAAAAAAAAAUCAACUAAGCAUAUAGUCUUUAAUACGA